GGGGAUAUGGCGGAAUGGUAGACGCAGCGGACUCAAAAUCCGUUGGUUUCGACCGUGAGGGUUCGACUCCCUCUAUCCCCA
rnacentral:tRNA from 7 species